AUUAGCUUGGGUGUCACAUGUG
rnacentral:miRNA from 1 species